rnacentral:rRNA from 1 species
UACGGAGGAUGCGAGCGUUAUCCGGAUUUAUUGGGUUUAAAGGGUGCGCAGGCGGCACGGCAAGCCGGCGGUCAAAUCGCGGGGCUCAACCCCGCCCAGCCGUCGGAACUGCCGGGCUAGAGUGGGCGAGAAGUGCGCGGAAUGCGUGGUGUAGCGGUGAAAUGCAUAGAUAUCACGCAGAACUCCGAUUGCGAAGGCGGCGCACCGGCGCCCUACUGACGCUCAGGCACGAAAGCGUGGGUUUCGAACAGG